CUCUCCAAGCCUCAGUUUCUCUGGCUGUAAAAAGGGGACAAUGAAAUACCGACCGUGCUGGGUUAGUCUGCAGUUUUUAGUGAGAUAAGCCAGGUAAAGUGCUUAGGGACUGAGCUGGUGUAACUGCUCACGUUCCUUGGUUUUGUAGUGUUGUUUCUGCUGCUACAGUUCCUGUUGCUGCAUCAGUUUUCUUAUUCUUUGGGAAGAAUUUCUAAGAAGGUUUUCUCUUUCAUUUGACAGUUAAUUCAUACUUCAGUUGUGGACACGACAGUUCUGUUCCCUCAUCCGCUAGGCUUGCCUCACAGAAGAUCCCUGAAGGGUUUAGUGGCUGACUACCUGCAGAGAGUCAUUCAGGAUGAAGGUCACAGUUCCAGUGAAAAUGCAACCGCCUUCAUGGAACUGGUCCUCUGGAAGGUAAAAGACGACCUGAAAGGAAAGAAGUGACCACCUGGCCCAAGCAGAUCUUAAACCUCUGCACCGCUUCCCUGACUCCUUGGCCUCCACUGCUGGCAGGAGCGUUUAAUCUAUAAUAACAUGAGGUUUCCCUUUCAUAGAAGAGGAGAAAGAGAAGCACUGUCGAGGUUUAUGCAUUACAUUUUAAAGGCUGGAUUUCCACAGCAGUUUCUAAAGUUGUGUCUAGGGAGGGGUGGGGAAGGAAUUAGGUUGUUUGGAUUUUGACUUAUCGUCAUAGGCCAUGUGCAGAUGUCCAUGGAAGAUGCUUUAAAGUGGAAGCACUGCGUCCAGGACUUCCACAAAUUUCAUUUCUCAGAUUACUUAAAAUUUCUUUUCCUCUUUAAAUACCUGGAACCGUUAUACUGCUAGGAGUCUAAAACAUCUCUUCCUAACAAAAUCAUAACAGUUUUCUUUAGAUUGCCUAUAUAGAAAUAGAUGUAGAGAUUUUCUUCACAAAAUAUAUGGAUGCGAAUGUAAACUUUUCAGUGUACUGUUAACAUAAUACAGUUUGGUCACUGGGCUAUUGUGUAAGGUGUUUUCAUUCUAACUGGUGUACUCUUGCUUGAUUUUGAUUCCUGUCAGCCACUCAUUGAUCUUUUUUUUUUUAAGGCAGUAUCCUGUGGAUCUUCUGGUACACUGAAAUCUAAUCUAUAUUCCCAAUACUGGAAUUACCUAGUUCCUUAAAGGGGUCAGUUCUUCCCUUCUUAAUUGCUUUUUGAUGAUAUGCAAACUGGCCUGUGGAAAUGACACAAAUUCAUUCAGUUUGACUGCUGACCUUUGAGUAAGUAUGAAUCUUUCGAUUAAUUCAGUUAACGUGCUACAAAGCUACAAAGGUUUCUUUGUCACCAGCAUGGAUGAAUCACAGAGAUGUCAGUCGGAUGGCCGCUGUGCCAGAAGUGAAUUCGUGGCCUUCUGACAGUUGAUUAUAAUAUGUGUCAACCCUUGGCACACCUUAGGCUUACUGCUUCAGUAUUUUGAAUUUACAAGUAAAUCUUAGUAUCACUGAAUUCCUUUUUCUUGAUGCUGCCCUUUCGUAGUCAUCUCUUUUACUGGCCGUGAAGUAAAUUCGUAAUGAUGUAAAUUUAUUUUAAAUAUAUAUAAUCAAGAAGGUCAAACUGUUAGAGAGGGUAGCUGUUAUUGUGUAUUCCAAAGCCACAUGCAAAAUUUGAAGACAUUCUCUACAUUUUUCAGAGAUACAUUCAUCCCUGUUCUUGUUUGGUUCCAUGUACAUACAAACCAAGAGCUGUCAGGAGUAUCUUCACAACAUUUGGGUAAAAAGGAACUGUUACAUAUUUGGACCUACUUUCAGUGGCUCUUCAUUCCAGCCCCUGCUCUGCUGAAGAAUAAAUGAUGCGGCAGCAGUGUUACUUUUGCCUGUCCUGCUAUGGAUGAAGAGCUUUCGGACAAAUGCAGUUUCCUGGUCACUGUUUCUGCUGCAUGAAGUUCAGCAGAUGGCAGAAAUAUGGAACAUUACACAGUACGUAAAACACUGCAACACAGUUAAAAGAGAUUCCAGUUUUAAGCCCUCAAUUCAUACUGGUACCCGAGGUACAGGAAAACAGUAGAAUAUUUCUGGGAGAUGUUUCUAAUCUUGUGAUACAUCUGGUUGAAUAUACUCACCAACUGCUGUCUGCAUAUUGCCAACACAUUAGAGGAUGAUAAAGUGUUUUCUUGAAAGUAUAAUAGAGAUGGUUGGUAAUACUUACGAGACACAUUCCUAGACAAAAAGUGGGUAGGCAAGACAUUUAUUCACUUACUAUAUGAUCUCAGUAUAGCAUGUGCCUACAAUAUAAAUGGUAAACUCACAACUGAUCAAAACUAGAACUUUUUACAAUGUGCAAGACAGGUGGGGAUGUUAAUCUGCUAUGAUACAUGUCACAUGUCUCUCAAAUAUAACGACAAGCUUCCUGUUUUAAUUUCUUAACAAACACAUUGAUUGUUAUCCAAGAAACUAAAACCUAUUAGCUUCUCAAAUUAACACUUCCUAACAUUCUUAGGCUUCUAAGGAAUGAGAUUUAAGUCGGUUUUUCAGUGUCUACAUUUAGGACUGAUUUGUUGGCUCUGGAAACACAUGAAAAAGUUAUCAAAUUAACAAAGGAAUCAGGAUGGCUUCUACAGGUGAGGGGGAAUAUUUAGAGAUAGAAAAAGCUCUUUACAUCACUUAGGUUAACAUUUAAGAGACCUAAAUCCAUGUCCUGUUAGCACUCAUACCUUUCCCCUACUUUUUCUCACCUGUACCAACAGGUUUACUAAUAGUAUUUUCUUCUACACAGUGAAACAUCUUAGAGCAUCCAAUAUAUAGGUAAAUAUUUAAAAAAAUACCUAGGACAAUAAUGAGUUAUGAACUACAGUGAUUGUACUCACACCUUCCCAUAAAGUCCAUGUUUUUAGAAAAAUAUAUUAUUGUAUAUGAAACAACAGGCAUUCUGAUUCCAGCACAUUCUUACUCAAAAUAGUAUAUACAGUCCUAGUCAGAGGGUGCUACAGAUUCACACACGGGUCUUAGAGUCAAAGUCCCAGGCAAGCGACAAUCUAUAUACAUGUCCAUUUUCUGUCACCUCUCUUGGCAGAGGCUUG